rnacentral:rRNA from 1 species
GACGAACGCUGGCGGCGUGCUUAACACAUGCAAGUCGAACGCUGAAGCCCUGGCUUUUGUUGGGUUGGAUGAGUGGCGAACGGGUGAGUAACACGUGAGUAACCUGCCCUCUUCUUUGGGAUAACGCCCGGAAACGGGUGCUAAUACUGGAUAUUCACUGGCCUUCGCAUGGGGGUUGGUGGAAAGGUUUGUUCUGGUGGGGGAUGGGCUCGCGGCCUAUCAGCUUGUUGGUGGGGUGAUGGCCUACCAAGGCUUUGACGGGUAGCCGGCCUGAGAGGGUGACCGGUCACAUUGGGACUGAGAUACGGCCCAGACUCCUACGGGAGGCAGCAGUGGGGAAUAUUGCACAAUGGGCGAAAGCCUGAUGCAGCGACGCCGCGUGAGGGAUGGAGGCCUUCGGGUUGUAAACCUCUUUCGCUCAUGGUCAAGCCGCAACGGGGGGUUGUGGUGAGGGUAGUGGGUAAAGAAGCGCCGGCUAACUACGUG